UCGAACAUAGGAAAUAUAUUUUUUACUUUUUUGUGUGUGUCUGUGUGCGUUUUAUAUUUGCUAUAUGCUGUUGUAGCGCUUUGACAUGUCUGCGUCUUUAUUAGGGAAAACACAAGACAUUUGCACAAUAUUCAAGUUAGUGCAGGCAUCCGCUCCUCUGUAACACAUGGAAAUGCAAGAAUAACAAUGAUUCUCGUUAUAAAAUAUACUUAUCUAAAGCUAUACAAUGCAUGGCUACUUGUGGCCAAUAUCUGCAACUUGGUGAGAGCCAAUCAAAGAGGUUUGAUCAACAUUCUGUUGGCUUUCAUUUGCAUACAGGAGGCGGGGAUUGCCUAUAAAUAUUCACCUCCCGCACUGUUUACUCGCAGAUCACCUGUCUUGGUACACUUUAUUCGUCCAGCUGGCAACAGUGUAUAUCGAUAUGGCCAGUCCUGCCAAGGCUCCGAAGGUUGAGGAAAACAUAGUAGAGGGCUUUAUACACAACGUGUCGCCCAGACGGCAGUCUAGGCGAAACAGCCCCUAUUUCUCAGCAAUAAUUCAGAGCGCCAGAGAAGAAUAUCACAGAGUGGUGGUGUUCGCCAUAGAGAAGCAAGUCGUGUUCAACUAAGCUGUGAGAAGCAGCAACGGUGUCCGUCUGCGCAACAUCAGACGCAGCCUGAGUUUCUUGGAUCCGUAGGCUUCAAUGUCGUCUGCUCCGCGAACACCAGUGUGGAGGCUGCCAACCUGCCGUUUCUGCGCUGCGCACCCCCAAACUGCAAGAAGAUGACCGUGGCCGAGGUCAAGGCGCUCGGUCCCGGGCAAAAGGUGGGAGAAGUGCGCGCUUGAGUUCAGCGAGAAGGAUGCAUGAGCAGGGUGGUCAACGUCAACGGCGCUGACUGUGAGCUGAAUGAGUUGAGGGUCAGCUAUGUCACUGGUGAAAUUAAGCUGACGCUUUGGGACACCUACGUCAAUGCGGCUGAGUGCUCCAGAUCCUACUCCUUAAGGAACGACGUGACGCCUAGGAGAGAAGGGUGCAUCUGUCUCACCACAGGUUCCUCCAACAUUGUGGAGGAAAUCGCUGAGGUGGAGGAGAGCAAAGGGCAGGCAGCCAGAGGCCAAACUAAGGGUGCUUUAAAGCAGCAGCUUUAACGGCAUCGAAGUUACGAUUUCAGACCAUUGCCAUUUCAGACAGCCGGAGUUCCACGAGAAGUCCAACUUCUCGAUGAUGCGAGAGCUGCCACUUUAUGCAGGCGUCGCUGUCUUUCCUCACGGUGUUCGGUGGCAAAGGAAUGGUGGUGACUGAGGAUGAUGGCGCCGAGAAAGUCCUCUUGACUAAUUCAGUGCUUACUCGCUAUCUCCGCGACGCCAGCCUUUCGUCGUUAUUCAACAAUGCAGAGGCCAUCGAGGACCACCUCCUUACAGCACUGGGGUUCGAUCUGACCAUGAGCUUGGAUGGCUUCUUAGUUUCCGUUCAGCCGGUGGGAGCGGUGGAUUCAGGCGCGAAGGAUCAGCCUCUUGCUGCAGCUAAGCUAGCUGGUGAUGCAAAUCACGGCGAAGGGACGUCCGUUUAGCUCGGGUGGCCUGAAGACGGUUCGGAAGAAACAACACUUUCCUGAUUUCAUUUCAUUGGUUAAAUUGUUCUGCAUGUUUUGAUGUUCUUGUUGUUCAGUGAAUGUUUCCCUUUUGAAAAUGUAAUCCUAGUCGUUAUGUCUUUAUUUAUUUGUAAUUUUAUUUAUUUAUUUUUUUACAUUACAAUAUUGGGCGGCGGGG